rnacentral:rRNA from 1 species
UCCUACGGAGGGCAGCAGUGAGGAAUAUUGGUCAAUGGGCGGAAGCCUGAACCAGCCGAGUCGCGUGAGGGAAUAAGGCCCUACGGGUCGUAAACCUCUUUUGCCGGGGAGCAAGGGCCGGGACGCGUCCCGGCCCGGAGAGUACCCGGAGAAAAAGCAUCGGCUAACUCCGUGCCAGCAGCCGCGGUAAUACGGAGGAUGCGAGCGUUAUCCGGAUUUAUUGGGUUUAAAGGGUGCGUAGGCGGCUUCUUAAGUCUGUAGUCUAAGCCCGGAGCUUAACUCCGGUUCGCUAU